CCUACGGGUGGCAGCAGUGAGGAAUAUUGGUCAAUGGGCUUACGCCUGAACCAGCCAAGCCGCGUGAGGGAAGACUGCUCUAUGGUUUGUAAACCUCUUUUGUCAGGGAGCAAUUGGCGCUACGUGUAGCGUUAUCGAGAGUACCUGAAGAAAAAGCAUCGGCUAACUCCGUGCCAGCAGCCGCGGUAAUACGGAGGAUGAGAGCGUUAUCCGGAUUUAUUGGGUUUAAAGGGUGCGUAGGCGGAAUGCCAAGUCAGCGGUAAAAUCGCGUGGCUAAACCUCGAUCCGCCGUUGAAACUGGCGGUCUUGAGUGGGGGAGAAGUAUGCGGAAUGCGUGGUGUAGCGGUGAAAUGCAUAGAUAGCACGAAGAACUCCGAUUGCGAAGGCAGCAUACCGGCGCCCAACUGACGCUGAAGCACGAAAGCGUGGGUAUCGAACAGGAUUAGAUACCCCGGUAGUC
rnacentral:rRNA from 1 species